rnacentral:rRNA from 1 species
UACGGGGGGGGCAAGCGUUGUUCGGAAUUACUGGGCGUAAAGGGCGCGUAGGCGGUCUGUUAAGUCAGAUGUGAAAACUCUGGGCUCAACCCAGAGCCUGCAUCCGAAACUGGCAGGCUAGAGUUCUGGAGGGGGUAGCGGAAUUCCUGGUGUAGCGGUGAAAUGCGUAGAUAUCGAGAGGAACACCUGCGGCGAAGGCGGGUUGCUGGGCUGACACUGACGCUGAGGCGCGAAAGCUAGGGGAGCGAACGGG